rnacentral:rRNA from 1 species
CACUUAGGCAAAUCCGGGUGUUCAAGGCCGAGAGCUGAUGACGAGCUUUCUUUUAGAGAGCGAAGUGGUUGAUGCCAUGCUUCCAGGAAAAGCUUCUAAGCUUCAGGUAACUAGGAACCGUACCCGAAACCGACACAGGUGGUCGGGUAGAGAAUACCAAGGCGCUUGAGAGAACUCGGGUGAAGGAACUAGGCAAAAUGGCACCGUAACUUCGGGAGAAGGUGCGCCGGUGAGGGUGAAGUAUUUACUGCGUAAGCCCACGCCGGUCGAAGAUACCAGGCCGCUGCGACUGUUUAUUAAAAACACAGCACUCUGCAAACACGAAAGUGGACGUAUAGGGUGUGACGCCUGCCCGGUGCCGGAAGGUUAAUUGAUGGGGUUAGCGAAAGCGAAGCUCUUGAUCGAAGCCCCGGUAAACGGCGGCCGUAACUAUAACGGUCCUAAGGUAGCGAAAUUCCUUGUCGGGUAAGUUCCGACCUGCACGAAUGGCGUAACGAUGGCGGCGCUGUCUCCACCCGAGACUCAGUGAAAUUGAAAUCGCUGUGAAGAUGCAGUGUAUCCGCGGCUAGACGGAAAGACCCCGUGAACCUUUACUGUAGCUUUGCACUGGACUUUGAGCCUGCUUGUGUAGGAUAGGUGGGAGGCUUUGAAGCGUGGACGCCAGUUCGCGUGGAGCCAACCUUGAAAUACCACCCUGGCAUGCUUGAGGUUCUAACUCUGAUCCGUUAUCCGGAUCGAGGACAGUGUAUGGUGGGCAGUUUGACUGGGGCGGUCUCCUCCUAAAGAGUAACGGAGGAGUACGAAGGUGCGCUCAGACCGGUCGGAAAUCGGUCGCAGAGUAUAAAGGCAAAAGCGCGCUUGACUGCGAGACAGACACGUCGAGCAGGUACGAAAGUAGGUCUUAGUGAUCCGGUGGUUCUGUAUGGAAGGGCCAUCGCUCAACGGAUAAAAGGUACUCCGGGGAUAACAGGCUGAUACCGCCCAAGAGUUCAUAUCGACGGCGGUGUUUGGCACCUCGAUGUCGGCUCAUCACAUCCUGGGGCUGAAGCCGGUCCCAAGGGUAUGGCUGUUCGCCAUUUAAAGUGGUACGCGAGCUGGGUUUAGAACGUCGUGAGACAGUUCGGUCCCUAUCUGCCGUGGACGUUUGAGAUUUGAGAGGGGCUGCUCCUAGUACGAGAGGACCGGAGUGGACGAACCUCUGGUGUUCCGGUUGUCACGCCAGUGGCACUGCCGGGUAGCUAUGUUCGGAAUAGAUAACCGCUGAAAGCAUCUAAGCGGGAAACUAGCCUCAAGAUGAGAUCUCACUGGGAACUUGAUUCCCCUGAAGGGCCGUCGAAGACUACGACGUUGAUAGGUCGGGUGUGUAAGCGCUGUGAGGCGUUGAGCUAACCGAUACUAAUUGCCCGUGAGGCUUGACCAUAUAACACCCAAACAAUU